rnacentral:lncRNA from 1 species
AGAGCAGCUUUAAUAUUGCAGCAAUUUGGAUGUCUGCAUAAAAGCAGACUUGUUUUUUUUUCUCUCCACUUCUGGCUCCUGGAAAUAAUAUUCUCUUAACCUUUUGGAAUUAAACCAGCCAAAUAGAGUGUAACAUGUUUCUUAAUCAUUUGGGCCACCUUCUCCUUUCUGAAUGGAUGUUGGUUUCAGUGGGAAUGUUUUCUGUGGUUGUGGAUCAUUGAGAAGAUGGUGCUGAUUUGCUCUGGUAAGCUGAAGGAACAACCAGGCACGUGGCAUGAAGUGAAAUAAGGACAAAUGCAAGAGACAUCCUGGAGACAGGCAACUGAGGACAAAGAAAGUCUGUGGGGAAAGGGUGGUGAACCAGGUGCCCACCUGCCAGCAUUAUUGCUGAGGCACAUCUCAGCCAGGCCAUCAAGCUCCAGAUGAUCCUCAGUGAGGGAUACCGCUCUCUCAGUAUUCAAGAGUCACCCUUCCACAGAGAAGCCCUAGACUGCCCAUCAGUGGAAUAUGAGAGAGAGCCAGAGCCUUCAGACCAAGACAAUCGAACAUCCCUGGAUAUCUGAGAUAGCCAGCCUUUCUUCUGGAGAGCUUCCCAGGUGAGCCUGCAGAACAUAUCUGAAAUAUUUCCUGGCCUGUUUAUUUAAAAUUUUGAAAUAUGUAAAAUUCAUCAGAAGUUCUUUCUUUUCUAAGAUGCCUUUCUCCUCUCCUUCAGCUUACAUAGAAACACCCAUGAGCUGUGAAAUUUUCUACUUGUCAUGUGUUUUGAUAUUCGCUGAUAGUUUUAUUUGUGUAUUUCCAAGUUCUUCCUAAAACGCGAAAGCAUGAAGAGGGGAGACAGCGGUCUCUUAGACCAUUGUCUUAGUUUAAAUGUCAAAUUCAUGGUGUUACAAGAUUUCAUGCUACCACGGCUAAGAGAAUUUUAUAAUUGUCAACCCGUUCCCCUGCCCACUCAUUCUCUGCCUGCAAAGGCAUAUCUUUCUUUCUGUAGGAGAGUUCUCCUUUGUCAAAUAGACUUCUCCCAUGACGGGUGGAAUUUGCUUACAUUAAAAAGAUCGGCUCAAGUUGAACCAAAGUAUCUUAGUCAUACUCCUAAUUUUUUAAGACAGGGAAUCUGAUUAACCCAUCUUGACUGAAGGUAAGGGAAGCAAAGCAGUGUUGAACUGAGCAGUGGAAGAGCUUGGGAGGGUGUGAAGGUUAUAGCGAGACAUUCUGCAGAGUAGCUGCAAGAUUUGAUGGAAAUGGAUUGAAGAGAGGAGGGAUUUUUAUAGAUGGUACUGUGGACCAUGUAUUUGAAUUCCCUUUGUGCUUUUUGAGAAAUGCAAUCAAAGAUUUCAGUCUGAAGUUAUAUUUGGUUGCUGGGUUGUGUUUCUGUGAAUAGGAAACUAUUCUAAGAGUGAAACACCUGGAUCUUGGUUUUAUCAAGGCUACAAUAAUGAUUCCAAAUACGUAAAAGCGAAUUUUGUGAAGUGCAACAUAUAAUAAAAUGAUUUUGGAAAUGCAAUGUGAUAGAAAUUAUGAUGGAAUGUUAAAAAGGAAGGAAUAAGCUCCAAGCAAAAAUUGAAUUUUCUUCUUCCACCUUUAUUUCAUUCUUUUUGAGAAAGUACUAUGUACAAUGUAAAGUGUUGUAGGGGAUGCAAAAGAUGAAUAAAGACAUUCUCAUUUGCUUAUAAUUUAAUGGGAGAGAUAAUAUAUCUAGCAGCAAUGAAAAACAAGGAAUGAGGAGAUAAUUGUCAAAAGAAAUAUUUGUUCAGAGUUAUAUGGAUUUUUCUGAAAUAAGAUAUGACAGUGACCUGAAUGGGUAAGAAGGCUUCAAGAGGAGGUCUGAAUGUUUGAGAGUCAGUAGGAUUAAUGGUUGUUGGGGUUGGAAUUGGCAUAAGCAGUAAGGCAGAGGAAAGAGAUCAGCAAAGUUAUAGUAGAAAACGCUUACAUGUGGCGACUCUUUGGAGAAGAGCAGCAAAUGGGCACUUUAGAAUGAAGAAUUAGGUUCAAGAAGGCAAAUGGUCAGUUUUCCAGAAAGAGUUAUAUGAGCUGGAUAAUGAAUGAUCUUAAAUGUCAGGAUAAGAAAUUUGUACCUGCUGCCAUUGGGAGACUUUUGGGAGUCUUUGAAGGCUUUGAUCUGGGGAGUGACAUAAUUUAAGUUAUGCUUUGAUAUAGCACUAGACAAAAGGAAGGACUAUAAAGAACAGUAACAAGAAGUAGCUGAAGAAUGGGGGCAAUUGUGUUAAAAUGGCAGGCAGGUUACCCACAUCUACUUCCUCCUAACAGAAUUCCUUUGAGACAAUACAGAGGGAAUGCUUUCAUAAAAGCAAUGGAAAACAAGGAAGGGUGAUAUGGGUGGAGCAGGGCAUAAACUUUUUAGAUAUUUCUAAAAGAUAUAAAGCAGAGUGGUUGGCUAGAUAGAAAAAGGGAGACCAGAGGAACCAACAGCCCAAAAUAUAAGCAGAAGUUAGGAAUGCUAUCAAGGUAGGAAAAAUUGGGGGACAGUCACACAGGUCUGAAUCAGAGCUGGGUCAAGGUGGGUUGAUCAGGUUCUCUUGUCUAGAAAUUUGGAAGUGAGACUUAGAAAUUUCAGUUUAGGCUGGGCGCGGUGGCUCAUGCCUGUAAUCCCAGCACUUUGGGAGGCUGAGGUGGGUGGAUCACCUGAAGUCAGGAGUUCGAGACCAGCCUGGCCAACGUGGCAAAACCCUGUCUCUACCAAAAAUACAAAAAUUAGCUGGGCAUGGUGGUGCAUGCCUGUAAUCCCAGCUACUUGGGAGACUGAGGCAGGAGAAUUGCUUGAAUCUGGGAGGCGGAGGUUGCAGUGAGCUGAGAUUGUGCCACUGCACUCCAGCCUGGGCGACAGAGCGAAGUUGUUUUCUGUUGAAGUUGUUUUCUGUUACUUGCAUCUGAAUCUUCAUCUAUGUAUGAGUUCUAAGCAAAAGGUGAGAGUUUUUCAAGGAAGUGGAUGAGAAAUAACAGUUAUUUGUUUUUGAAGGGGGUUGUUGAGAAUUGAAGGGCAUUAUCCCUUGUUUGAUAUUGCAUUGAGAGAUGUCAGAAACUAAGGCAACUUCAAAAGCAAUUCAUUUCACCAAUCAUAGGUCAAAUUAAUAUUGUCUGACUGCAGUGAAAGGAACAAAGCCUGCUGGAAAGCAGUCUGUGACAUAUUAAUUAAUAUCAGCUUGUUGACUAAUAGUAUGAGGUGAAUUCCAGUUCGAUAGAACCGUAACCUUAAUCAGUCCCUGGAAAAUUUUCUCUGGCAAAAUUUCUCUGGCUUUAUAUAUUGUUGUUUGUUAUAUUAUUUCUUAAAAUUGAAAAUGGGUUCAAUAUUCCCUUUCCAUCACUUGAAUUCACUGUACCUCCUACCUAGCUCUGGUUUCUUUCUUUGUAUACCAUUGUGGUAUCAAGUAACUUCCAAUAUUUGAAUAUCCAAAGUACAUUCUUCAGACUGCCUUAUUCGCCCUGAAAUAGCACAAAUAUUCUUUGUCAAACUAUGUCCUCUGGUUUUUCAUUUGAAUUAUAGUCUUGUAGUAAAUUCUCCUUUGUGCCAGGCAGAACAAUUUUACCCUCUACCGAGCUCUAAUUUUUCAUUUCAGCCCAUUUUCUGGAGAGAACUGGGGUCACUGGUUAAUGCUGGUUUUAAAACAGCUUUUCAUGCCACAGGCCUUGAACAUCCCUGGCUGUGGAAAAACUUGUGAGGGUGGUUUAUGUGUUUGUUUUCAGAGUCCCUUUCUCAUUGCCUCCUUCCUUCCCCUUUUUUUUAUUUCCCACCUCCCAGCUUUCCUGCAUGUAUCCAGACAGCUUCCUGUCUUCCCAGGGCACUUCUGUGUGGGAGAACUGCUCCCUUUACAUUGCCUUUUACUCCAUGAGUGUUCAGGCUCCAUACCUCUGUCAAAAACAUUUCUGUUUCAUGUCUACACACAUUUUUAGCCAUCAAUGACUGAAAAUAUCUUAGAAUAUUAUGCUGCUGGAAAACCAGUGUACUUCCAACAAGAGUCUUUAGAGUGACUUGUGAGAAUUUCAGGACUGAUGAUAGGAUGGUCAAUGUGUGGACGGUGUAAUGGAGUCAGUCUUUGGUUCAAUCUGUGACCUUCUCUUUGCGAACUGAGCUUUCUCCCAAAUGUCUGCACUGUAUCCUAGGAGUGGGCCCUGGCUGCUUGUCAUGGGCUCACCUGCUGCCAUGCUUUUGCUGAUUACACAGAGUGGGCAACUGAGUCAACCUGCUCCUUUAUCAUGUGAAGUUGAAGGUGGAAGGGUGGCCAUAUUUGCCAAGUGACUGAAAGGAUGAGAACACCAGUCUGAAGGGAGAUGAUGCAAUGACUGAGUGGAGAAGGGCAGAAUGAAGGCAGCAGUGGAGGCCUGGUGGGUUUACCUCCUCCUCAGGCCUUCCUGGGUUCAGCCUCACCCUCCAGCCAGUGUGAUAUACUUGAAAAUGGCAAGCAGGGAUUUGGGUGAUGGCAAUCCUCAACUUCAGAAUUACUCUUCACCUACCUGUUCUAACCAUAAGACUUGUUGAUGACCCUGCUUCUGGCGAUAUUGUGUGGGGUAAAUCCUUUAAAGAAGAAUUCUGUUUAUAUUGGUUAGAAAUAUAAUGGCCUAUAUUAAGUCCAACAGAGCUUAAAGGUAAAAAAAAUAAUAAUGGCUUAUAACUGCUUAUGAGAAAGAGAGAGAACAGAGUUGGCUAAAAAUUUACAGUGUGUGGGUUGGGGACCGAGAUAGCGUCCUGAGAGAAAUGUUGCCUGUAAAAUGAAGUAAAAAUCCAGUAUGGACAGGAGAAAUUUUCAUCUGGGAAUAAUGUGUGGUUUCAGCUGUAAUAAAUACAUCUCUUCUAUUGGGUUCCCUGUUUUGUCUAUUGGGUUCCCUGGAAGUUUCCCUGUUUUGUCUAUGAGCAGCCUAGUUUGGCCUGGUUCCCCAUGCAGACACUAACUUUUUUUUUUUUUUUUCAAAAUAUACAUCUUAAUACGAAGAAGGUUGGGGAGCUUGGACCCAGAAUAAUGGCUGAUAUUUAUUGAGGGCUUA